UCCGGCAGAUAACUCUCUGCAGCUCUCACAUGGUUGCCCACUGAAGCUAAGCAGGGCUGCGCCCGGUCAGUACCUGAAUGGGAGACCACAUGGGAAAGCUAGGUUGCUGCCCGCA
ensembl:rRNA 5S_rRNA 5S ribosomal RNA